UCUGAGUCGUCGAGUCGAUAGUGCCAAGUUUUUCAUCAUAGUUUUCCAUCGUUGGCCAAUUAUCAAAAUUUUUAAAUUAUGUUGUUAUGAAGUGGCAAAAGUGCAUUAUAAUCUAGUGUCGUUUAGUUUUUUAAGAUGGGGGGAGCUUAUGGAAAAGGCACAAACAGAACAGAAAAUGAGAAGGAAAAAGCAUUUGACUUCAAGAAGUUAGACGCAAGAGUAGAUCACAUUUAUGUCGAUGGAUUAAGCAGAACGAAAGAUGACAUCAUUCAUAAAAUUUGCCAUGACUUAUUUCAAUCCACCAAUUUUGAGGAGG